GAUGAACGCUGGCGGCGUGCCUAAUACAUGCAAGUCGAGCGAACGGACGAGAAGCUUGCUUCUCUGAUGUUAGCGGCGGACGGGUGAGUAACACGUGGAUAACCUACCUAUAAGACUGGGAUAACUUCGGGAAACCGGAGCUAAUACCGGAUGAUAUUUUGAACCGCAUGGUUCAAAAGUGAAAGACGGUCUUGCUGUCACUUAUAGAUGGAUCCGCGCUGCAUUAGCUAGUUGGUAAGGUAACGGCUUACCAAGGCAACGAUGCAUAGCCGACCUGAGAGGGUGAUCGGCCACACUGGACCUGAGACACGGUCCAGACUCCUACGGGAGGCAGCAGUAGGGAAUCUUCCGCAAUGGGCGAAAGCCUGACGGAGCAACGCCGCGUGAGUGAUGAAGGCCUUCGGAUCGUAAAACUCUGUUAUUAGGGAAGAACAUAUGUGUAAGUAACUGUGCACAUCUUGACGGUACCUAAUCAGAAAGCCACGGCUAACUACGUG
rnacentral:rRNA from 1 species